CCGAUGUUAGGAUAAGGUUGCUCAGGCGUGCUAUUUAGCUGGAGAACUGGUGGUUGCAAGAAAGCAUUGUGAAGCGUCCAUUAAGAUUCUGAAGAGGCUAUAUGAGGAUGAACAUGUAGUGAUUGGAAAUGAAAUGGUGAAGCUUGCGUCGAUUCAGCUUGCAUCAGGUGAUCGCAGUGGAGCUUGGGACACAACAAAGAGUCUGUCUCAGAUAUUCUCAAAGUAUUACGGGUCACAUGCUGAGACUCUCUUCUCUUAUCUCCCAUGUCUUAAGCAAGAAGCCGCCAAAGCUGUGAAUUUGUCAUCUUCUUAACCCAAAAAAUUGUGUUUGUUAGUACAAAAAUAUUAGGCCGGUUUAGUUUUUAUUUUUCCUUGGCAGAAACGAUGUCGUUUUCUUCGACUUAGGGUUUUAACCCAAAAAAGGUCCAAAACGACGAACACACGAAUUUAUUUUUUUUCCUCUGAGCUUAA